rnacentral:tRNA from 1 species
CAAAGAAUAGUUUAGCUUAGAAUCCUAGCUUUGGGAGUUAGGGGUGGGAGUUAAAAUCUCCUUCCUUUGA